CAAUAGCGUAUAUUAAAGUUGUUGCAGUUAAAAAGCUCGUAGUUGGAUUUCUGAUCGAGACAUCAGGUCGGGUCCGAGAGGAUCAUGUACUUUGAUUUUGUUUUGAUCAUCCUUGGGGAGAGCAUUUCUGGCAUUCAGUUGUCGGGAUUGGGAUCCUCAUCGUUUACUGUGAACAAAUUAGAGUGUUCAAAGCAGGCCUCGGCCUCUGAAUACAUUAGCAUGGAAUAAUAAGAUAGGACUUUGGUGGUCUAUUUUGUUGGUUUGCACGCCAAAGUAAUGAUUAAUAGGGAUAGUUGGGGGUAUUCGUAUUCAAUUGUCAGAGGUGAAAUUCUUGGAUUUAUGGAAGACGAACUACUGCGAAAGCAUUUACCAAGGAUGUUUUCAUUAA
rnacentral:rRNA from 1 species